rnacentral:rRNA from 1 species
AGUGAACGCUGGCGGUAGGCCUAGCACAUGCAAGUCGAACGGCAGCACAGUAAGAGCUUGCUCUUACGGGUGGCGAGUGGCGGACGGGUGAGGAAUACAUCGGAAUCUACUUUUUCGUGGGGGAUAACGUAGGGAAACUUACGCUAAUACCGCAUACGACCUACGGGGGAAAGCAGGGGAUCUUCGGACCUUGCGCGAUCGAAUGAGCCGAUGUCGGAUUAGCUAGUUGGCGGGGUAAAGGCCCACCAAGGCGACGAUCCGUAGCUGGUCUGAGAGGAUGAUCAGCCACACUGGAACUGAGACACGGUCCAGACUCCUACGGGAGGCAGCAGUGGGGAAUAUUGGACAAUGGGCGCAAGCCUGAUCCAGCCAUGCCGCGUGGGUGAAGAAGGCCUUCGGGUUGUAAAGCCCUUUUGUUGGGAAAGAAAAGCAGCAGGUUAAUACCCCGCUGUUCUGACGGUACCCAAAGAAUAAGCACCGGCUAACUUCGUG